CACCACAAACAAACCCAACCCUGGUUCAGUUUGAUCCGGACUAUGACCAUCUCCUGGUUGGACAACAUUUUGGUCCAUUGGUCUAAACCGUGGUUCGAGGCACCUGUGAUUUUGGUUUGGUGGAGUCCAACCAAUCAACAAGAGCAUCUAAUUAAAUCCUCCCUCUGGGACUGGGCGUAUCCACUGUCUGGGAUGUUCCAAAAGUCUUUACCCAUGAGGCCUCAGAGGGUGUUGUUGUGGUGAGCGAGCGACGGCAGGUACAGGAAGGUGUAGAUCAGGAGAAGCAGCAGCAGAGCUAACAACAGAGGCAGGCCCCAGUCGUUGGUGACCAGCACGUUGUCACAGCGAGCCUGCAGGAAGGAGCCACCCCGGACAUUCGGCUGCUCCACGACCUGUGACGGCAUGGCUGAGCUUUUUUCAACAGCUAUUUCAUCCUCGCCAUCCUUUGACCCGUUUGUCCAUCCACCUGCAUCCACCCAACUGGUGAGUGUUUGCAGUUUGCCACCUGGCUCCCACACCAUCACACACGCAAACACUAUGUGCUAAGGGGAUUAUUUUCUAAGCCUACAUGCAGAGACCCACAGUGCGGACAAGAGAUAUGACCUUCAACAUCCCUGAAACACAUCUGCUCCACAUGUGUCCACAUGCGACACACAGCGGGAUACAGGCCGUAGUUUUGGACUGAUGAUGUUGAGGAGCAGCGUGAGAAUGUCAAGAGUCAGAGUGAGGUGGCUGAUCCUUGUUCUAAUGGAUGGUGGGAUAUCAGCCAACAUGGAGGACAAGGCGUUCCUACUGCCGAGGAGACGGGUGGUGGCCUGUAGAGGACACAACAAGGACUCAGUGAUGACGUACCUGCUUAAAGGAUGUAAUUGACAUCAGAGUGCCUGUGUCCGUCCUCAUCCCCUGAUGGAGAGAAAUCUGCAAAGAAGGGCAAAACAGGCGUCAUACACCAAAAUGCAGCGUUCGUGUGGCUUUGUCUCUUCCUGUGUGUGCGUGUGUGCUGACCUCUGCCAGUCUCUGUGCGAGGCGGGAAGACUGAGUCUGAGGGAAAGCCAGGAGGAAGGCCUGCAGCCUGAGAGGCCUGAGCGCUGGAACAUAACUAACAGGAAACAGAGGACAUCAGAAAAAAGCUGGAAGUAAUGUAAUAAGUCACGCGUGUAUUGGAUUUUUUUGAUGCUGCUGUUGAACACCACAGUCUCUCUUACAGGUCGUUACAGAUGCAGAUGAUUGGUCGAAGCAGGAUGGACUCCUUCUUCUUUUUCUUCUUCCCAGUCUCUGUUCCGCUCUCGCCGCCAUGUCCGUCUUUCCUGUUCAGCGUUGCUAACAGAAUGCUGAUGGCAGCCUGUUGAGCACCACAGAUUAAACACAAGAAUAUAUCAAGAUAUUAUGCAGAUUUGAACCACAUUAUUAUUAUUAUCACAUUAGUUUGCUGGUGCCCUGAACGUACCGACGGCGCUCCAUCAAUCUCAUCAAUAAUGAGACAGUUUGGUCUCUCGUUGACUCCCAGC